rnacentral:rRNA from 1 species
UCAGCAGCCGCGGUAAUACGGAGGGUGCGAGCGUUAAUCGGAAUUACUGGGCGUAAAGCGCGCGUAGGCGGCUUGAUAAGCCGGUUGUGAAAGCCCCGGGCUCAACCUGGGAACGGCAUCCGGAACUGUCAGGCUAGAGUGCAGGAGAGGAAGGUAGAAUUCCCGGUGUAGCGGUGAAAUGCGUAGAGAUCGGGAGGAAUACCAGUGGCGAAGGCGGCCUUCUGGACUGACACUGACGCUGAGGUGCGAAAGCGUGGGUAGCAAACAGGAUUAGAUACCCUGGUAGUCCACGCCGUAAACGAUGUCGACUAGCCGUUGGGGUCCUCGAGACCUUUGUGGCGCAGUUAACGCGAUAAGUCGACCGCCUGGGGAGUACGGCCGCAAGGUUAAAACUCAAAGGAAAUUGACGGA